GAUGGGCUCUAGCUGCAGUCUGGCUCCACUGGUCUGGUGCAGAACAGGCUCUCUGGAGGCGGUUUGUAACUGUGGUCACAAAAAUCAAUGUUCUGGGAGAACGGGAAGCUGCACCCGGGCGGUGCGGUCCGCCCUCAUGGACGCACCACCUGGGCAAAGCUGCAGCCGCCUGAGGCUCUCUACAGAGCGCUCGGGUGGCUGCAGCAUGGGGGGGCCGGCGGCGCUGGUCUUGGCACCC